ensembl:rRNA 5S_rRNA 5S ribosomal RNA
GUCUAUGACCAUGCCACCCUAAACACGCCCAAUUUGGUCUGAUCUCGGAAGCUAAGCAGGGUCGGGCCUGGUUAGUACUUGGAUAGGAGGCAACCUAGGAAGACUAUGUGCUGUAGGCG